rnacentral:lncRNA from 1 species
GCGGUAAAUAAUGUAAAUUUUGAUGUAAAUAAGUUCGAAGAAAUGAAACUUAAACUUAAAACAUAUGAAGAUAAAAUUUGUAAAGGUGCAAUCCUCCGCUCAAAGGCUCAAUGGGCUAUAGACGGUGAUAAAAGUUCGAAAUAUUUUUUGAAAAAUAUAAACAAAAUAGUAACGCUGUAAAAGAAUUAAAAACGACUGAGGG